UGAGAAGGAAGCAAUAAACUCACAUAAAAGUAGAGAAUUUAUUUUUGACAGGGAUGCCAACAUUACUCACUAGAGAACGAGCAGUCUUUUCCUCAAUUGAUGCUGGACUACUGGGUGGGAAAGAACGCAGUUGAGCCUUACCUCAUACCAAGUAUUACAAGUGUAGAAGCUGCAAUUAUAGAACUCUCAGAGAGAAACAUAGAUGUAAGUCUUCAUGCCUUUGUAUUGGGCAAUGCUUGCAAGAACAUGGCAUCAAAACCACUAUCAGUAUCAGCCUACAGGUUCUGGGUCUGGGAUAGGCAGCUCAAGGAUAUGGGUGGGUCUAAU
rnacentral:lncRNA from 1 species